rnacentral:rRNA from 1 species
GGCUUAUCGAAAAUAAUUUUAAGUCAAUCUGCCCAAUGAUAUAAUUUAAAUGGCUGCAGUAUAACUAACUGUACAAAGGUAGCAUAAUCAAUUGUUUUUUAAUUAAAAACUAGAAUGAAAGAAUUAAUGAGAUAUAUACUGUCUCAUAUAUAUAAAAUAAAUUUAAAUUUUUAGUAAAAAUGCUUAAAUUAAUUUAUGGGACGAUAAGACCCUAUAGAAUUUUAUAUUUAUAUUUAAUUUAUUAUUUAAUUAUAAUAUAAAUAUUUAAUUGGGAGGAUUAGUAAAUUUAAAAAACUUUAUUUUUAAAAUAAACUUUAAUUUUAGAAUAUAAAUUUUGAUCUUAUAUUAUAAAUUAAAAAAAUAAAUUACCUUAGGGAUAACAGCGUAAUAUCUUUUUAAAGAUCAUAUUAAUAAAGAUGUUUGCGACCUCGAUGUUGAAUUAAGAUAAAUUUUAGAUGAAGAUAUCUAAUUAUUAAGUCUGUUCGACUUUUAAAAUCUUACAUGAUUUGAGUUCAAAUCGACGUAAGU